rnacentral:rRNA from 1 species
UACGGGGGGGAGCAAGCGUUGUCCGGAUUUACUGGGCGUAAAGAGCGCGCAGGCGGUCGUUCAAGUCGCGUGUGAAAGCCCCCCGGCUCAACUGGGGAGGGUCACGCGAUACUGAUCGACUCGAAGGCAGGAGAGGGAAGUGGAAUUCCCGGUGUAGUGGUGAAAUGCGUAGAUAUCGGGAGGAACACCAGUGGCGAAGGCGACUUCCUGGCCUGUUCUUGACGCUGAGGCGCGAAAGCUAGGGGAGCAAACGGG